rnacentral:rRNA from 1 species
AUGGAGAGAAUGUCGUCCUCCUAUUUCAAGGAGAUCUUUACCAAGGACCCAACCCUCUCUUCGGAUGCGGUUCUUGACUGUAUUCAGCAGAAGGUUUCACCGGGGAUGAAUGAGUCACUGUGUAGACCCUAUACCGAGGAGGAAAUCUCGGAUGCUUUGUUCCAGAUCGGGCCUCUCAAAGCCCCGGGCUGUGAUGGCCUCCCGGCCAGAUUUUACCAGCGCAACUGGGGUUUAGUGAAAACAGAGAUUGUUGCGGCAGUUCAAGAGUUCUUUUCUUCAGGUGUGAUGCCUGAUGAUGUGAACGACACAGCUAUAGUGCUUAUUCCUAAAGUUCCCCACCCGCAGGAACUGAAAGACUUCCGGUCUAUCAGCUUGUGUAAUGUGCUUUAUAAGGUGGUUUCCAAGUGUAUGGUGAACAAACUCCGGCCUCUACUGACAGAACUCAUCUCUGAAAACCAGAGCGCUUUCAUCCCAGGACGGUUGAUUUCUGACAAUUCGGUUAUUGCUUUCGAAUGCAUCAAUCAUAUCCAAUCUGUACGGCACUCUGGUCCCGGGCUGUGUGCGUACAAACUAGACCUGUCAAAGGCCUACGAUCAAGUGGACUGGGAUUUUUUGGAGCGUGCUUUGGCAAAAUGGGGCUUCUCUCCUUUAUGGAUCUCCCAUGUCAUGGCGUGUGUUUCAUCUGUAAAGUACUCGGUGAAGUUUCAUGGGAAGCUACUGGAAUUUUUCUCUCCUUCAAGAGGACUUCGCCAAGGUGACCCGUUAUCUCCCUUCCUGUUCUUGUUUGUUGCUGAUGCUCUCUCCUCCUUGAUUCAUAAGGCGACGCGACAAGAUGGCCUCGAAGGGAUAAAAAUUUGCAGGGGGGCACCGUAAAUCUCCCACCUUUUGUUUGCGGAUGAUUCUCUUCUGUUUUUCCAGGCAACAAAGCAUCAGGCACUGUUAGUGAAAGGUUUGUUGAACACAUUUGCGAUGGCGACUGGCCAACUGAUUAACCUGUCCAAAUGUUCCAUCCUCUUCUCAAACCAGUGUCCACAAAAUGUUGCAUUGCAAGUAAAGAAUAUUCUGGACGUUACCCAGGAAGCUUUUGAACCCAAAUAUUUGGGCUUGCCGAUCCCCGACGGCAGGAUGCACAAGGGGAAGUUUGAAUCUUUACAGGAACGGCUCAGGAAAGUCCUUGUCGACUGGAGUGAGCAGUACAUGUCUUCAGGCAACAAAGAGGUUCUGAUUAAGUCGGUUGCUCAAGCCAUUCCAACAUAUACCAUGGGCAUUUCAAAAUUCCCUUCUCAGUAUGUGAUGACCUGA